UGCUAUGACGACGGGUUGGGCGCGCUAGCGUUUCCUGGAGAUGCCGAGGUCGGCAGCAGAGCCGGGAGGGGCGAACUGAGUCCCCACUCGGAGGCCUCCACACACACACCGACCACGUAGAGGAGGCAAGCAGGGCGCUAGAGCAGCGGCCGGGCAGGAUGUGCGCCCGCAGCAACAGAGAACCCGCCACCCCGGGGCCAGGCUUCCUGAGCUUUCAAGGGGCCUGCAUCUGCCAGCCCUGUGUCCAUUAGUGAAGCAACGAAUGUGAAAAGCCAAUGGCCUGAAGCAGAGCCAACCAGCGCAGGCCUACCAGCUACCCCACCUUCCAGGUUGGCAAAUGACCUGCAGAAUGACUGCACUCGGGGGGGCGCUUCUGCAGUAAGAGGGCAGGUGGAUGGAAGGAGCGAGUGACCUAGAGGAUCUGGCGUGCCCAGACCCCAAGUAUUCAUAGGAAGAAAUGCACACGGUGACCCAAUAGGAUGUUAGAGCCCCGCAGGCUACAAUGCGGCACCACCACCACCGUAAUCAAGAAUUAUGACACUACCUCUUCUCAAGUCCUUCCUUGGAGGCUCCCCUGUGUCCAGCGGCUCUGCUUAGCCUCCAAGACUCCGCUCAGGGGCUCCUUUCUUAAGGACCUCUUACUCAUCUGCUCU